GGGCCAGUAGCUCAGCAGGAUAGAGCAACGGCCUUCUAAGCCGUAGGUCGGGGGUUCGAAUCCCUCCUGGCUCGCCA
rnacentral:tRNA from 2 species